rnacentral:tRNA from 1 species
GGGCUCGUGGCUCAACCUGGUAGAGCACAAGACUCUUAAUCUUGCUGUUGCGGGUUCGAAUCCCGUCGAGCCCA